rnacentral:piRNA from 1 species
GAUUGGUCUAAAUGUAACUGCUUCA